rnacentral:piRNA from 1 species
UAGUUGCUUUAUAAAAAAGUA